rnacentral:rRNA from 1 species
CUGGCUCAGGAUGAACGCUAGCGGCAGGCUUAACACAUGCAAGUCGAGGGGCAUCGGGAGUAGCAAUACUUGCCGGCGACCGGCGCAAGGGUGCGUAACGCGUGAGCAACAUGCCCGUAUCAGGGGGAUAAUCCAUGGAAACGUGGUCUAAUACCCCAUAGUAAUUAUGUAAGGCAUCUUAUAUAAUUUAAAGCUUUGGUGGAUACGGAUUGGCUCGCGUGACAUUAGCUAGAUGGUAAGGUAACGGCUUACCAUGGCUACGAUGUCUAGGGGUUCUGAGAGGAAGGUCCCCCCACACUGGAACUGAGACACGGUCCAGACUCCUACGGGAGGCAGCAGUGAGGAAUAUUGGACAAUGGAUGGAAAUCUGAUCCAGCCAUGCCGCGUGCAGGAAAGACGGCCCUAUGGGUUGUAAACUGCUUUUGUAUGGGAGCAAUAAGGGCUACGUGUAGUCCGAUGAGAGUACCAUACGAAUAAGCAUCGGCUAACUCCGUGCCAGCCGCCGC